GCCCUGGUAGCUCAGUUGGCUAGAGCGUUCGGCUUUUACUACUAUUUAGCCACCGAAAUGUCGUGGGUUCGAGCCCCACUCAGGGCG